rnacentral:rRNA from 1 species
CUGUGCCUACGGGGCGCAGCAGUGAGGAAUAUUGGUCAAUGGGCGCGAGCCUGAACCAGCCAAGUAGCGUGAAGGAUGACUGCCCUACGGGUUGUAAACUUCUUUUAUAAAGGAAUAAAGUGAGGCACGUGUGCCUUUUUGUAUGUACUUUAUGAAUAAGCAUCGGCUAACUCCGUGCCAGCAGCCGCGGUAAUACGGAGGAUGCGAGCGUUAUCCGGAUUUAUUGGGUUUAAAGGGUGCGUAGGUGGUUAAUUAAGUCAGCGGUGAAAGUUUGUGGCUCAACCAUAAAAUUGCCGUUGAAACUG